AUUGAACGCUGGCGGCAGGCCUAACACAUGCAAGUCGAACGGUAACAGGAAACAGCUUGCUGUUUCGCUGACGAGUGGCGGACGGGUGAGUAAUGUCUGGGAAACUGCCUGAUGGAGGGGGAUAACUACUGGAAACGGUGCUAAUACCGCAUAACGUCGCAAGACCAAAGAGGGGGACCUUCGGGCCUCUUGCCAUCGGAUGUGCCCAGAUGGGAUUAGCUAGUAGGUGGGGUAACGGCUCACCUAGGCGACGAUCCCUAGCUGGUCUGAGAGGAUGACCAGCCACACUGGAACUGAGACACGGUCCAGACUCCUACGGGAGGCAGCAGUGGGGAAUAUCGCACAAUGGGCGCAAGCCUGAUGCAGCCAUGCCGCGUGUAUGAAGAAGGCCUUCGGGUUGUAAAGUACUUUCAGCGGGGAGGAAGGGAGUAAAGUUAAUACCUUUGCUCAUUGACGUUACCCGCAGAAGAAGCACCGGCUAACUCCGUGCCAGCCGCCGCCGUAA
rnacentral:rRNA from 1 species